rnacentral:rRNA from 1 species
GACGAACGCUGGCGGCGUGCCUAAUACAUGCAAGUAGAACGCACAGUUUAUACCGUAGCUUGCUACACCAUACACUGUGAGUUGCGAACGGGUGAGUAACGCGUAGGUAACCUGCCUGGUAGCGGGGGAUAACUAUUGGAAACGAUAGCUAAUACCGCAUAAUAUUGAUUAUUGCAUGAUAAUUGAUUGAAAGAUGCUAUUGCAUCACUACCAGAUGGACCUGCGUUGUAUUAGCUAGUAGGGGAGGUAACGGCUCACCUAGGCGACGAUACAUAGCCGACCUGAGAGGGUGAUCGGCCAAACUGGGAAUGAGACAAGGCCCAGACUCCUUCGGGAGGCAGCAGUAGGGGAUCUUCGGCAAAGGACGAAAGUCUGACCGAGCCACGCCGCGUGAGUGAAGAAGGUUCUCGGAUCGUAAAGCUCUGUUGUAAGGGAAGAACGGGUGUGAGAGUGGAAAGUUCACGCUGUGACGGUAUCUGAACAGAAAGGAACGGCUAACUACGUG